ACGAAGGGUGCAAGCGUUACUCGGAAUUACUGGGCGUAAAGCGUGCGUAGGUGGUUCGUUAAGUCUGAUGUGAAAGCCCUGGGCUCAACCUGGGAAUGGCAUUGGAUACUGGCGACCUAGAGUGCGGUAGAGGGUAGCGGAAUUCCCGGUGUAGCAGUGAAAUGCGUAGAUAUCGGGAGGAACAUCCGUGGCGAAGGCGGCUGGCUGGACCUGACCUGACGCUGAGGCGCGAAGGCGUGGGGAGCGAACAGGA
rnacentral:rRNA from 1 species